rnacentral:rRNA from 1 species
UACAGAGGUCUCAAGCGUUGUUCGGAAUCACUGGGCGUAAAGGGUGCGUAGGCCGCACGGUAAGUCAGAUGUGAAAAGCCCCGGAGCUCAACUCCGGAACUGCAUCCGAUACUGCCGUGCUUGAGGACUGGAGAGGAGUCUGGAAAUUCACAGUGGAGCAGUGAAAAUGCGUAGAUAUUGUGAGGAACACUAGUGGCGAAGGCGAGACUCUGGACAGUUCCUGACGCUGAGGCACGAAGGCCAGGGGGAGCAAAACGGGG